rnacentral:rRNA from 1 species
GACGAACGCUGGCGGCGUGCUUAACACAUGCCAGUCGAACGGAAAGGCCCUGCUUUUGUGGGGUGCUCGAGUGGCGAACGGGUGAGUAACACGUGAGUAACCUGCCCUUGACUUUGGGAUAACUUCAGGAAACUGGGGCUAAUACCGGAUAGGAGCUCCUGCUGCAUGGUGGGGGUUGGAAAGUUUCGGCGGUUGGGGAUGGACUCGCGGCUUAUCAGCUUGUUGGUGGGGUAGUGGCUUACCAAGGCUUUGACGGGUAGCCGGCCUGAGAGGGUGACCGGCCACAUUGGGACUGAGGUACGGCCCAGACUCCUACGGGAGGCAGCAGUGGGGAAUAUUGCACAAUGGGCGGAAGCCUGAUGCAGCAACGCCGCGUGCGGGAUGACGGCCUUCGGGUUGUAAACCGCUUUCGCCUGUGACGAAGCGUGAGUGACGGUAAUGGGUAAAGAAGCACCGGCUAACUACGUG